rnacentral:rRNA from 1 species
GAUGAACGCUGGCGGCGUGCUUAACACAUGCAAGUCGAACGGAAAGGCCCAAGCUUGCUUGGGUACUCGAGUGGCGAACGGGUGAGUAACACGUGGGUGAUCUGCCCUGCACUUCGGGAUAAGCCUGGGAAACUGGGUCUAAUACCGGAUAGGACCACUUCUUGGAUGUUGUGGUGGAAAGUUUUUUCGGUGUGGGAUGAGCUCGCGGCCUAUCAGCUUGUUGGUGGGGUAAUGGCCUACCAAGGCGUCGACGGGUAGCCGGCCUGAGAGGGUGUACGGCCACAUUGGGACUGAGAUACGGCCCAGACUCCUACGGGAGGCAGAAGUGGGGAAUAUUGACCAAUGGGCGCAAGCCUGAUGAAGAGACGCCGCGUGGGGGAUGACGGCCUUCGGGUUGUAAACUCCUUUCGCUAGGGACGAAGCGUUUUGUGACGGUACCUGGAGAAGAAGCACCGGCUAACUACGUG